UGGGGAAUCUUGGGCAAUGGCCGAAAGGCUGACCCAGCGACGCCGCGUGCGGGAUGACGCUUUUCGGAGUGUAAACCGCUGUCAGGGGGGACGAAGUCUUCGGAUGCGAACAGUGUCCGGAGCUGACGGUACCUCCAGAGGAAGCACCGGCUAACUCCGUGCCAGCAGCCGCGGUAAUACGGAGGGGGCUAGCGUUGUUCGGAAUUACUGGGCGUAAAGGGCGCGUAGGCGGCCCGCCAAGUCCGGCGUGAAAGUCCUGGGCUCAACCCGGGGACGGCGCUGGAGACUGGCGGGCUGGAGUCCGGGAGAGGGUGGCGGAAUUCCCAGUGUAGAGGUGAAAUUCGUAGAUAUUGGGAAGAACACCGGUGGCGAAGGCGGCCACCUGGCCCGGGACUGACGCUGAGGCGCGAAAGCGUGGGGAGCAACAGGAUUAGAUACC
rnacentral:rRNA from 1 species